rnacentral:misc_RNA from 1 species
GAUGAAGAACGUAGCUAAAUGCGAUAAGUAAUGUGAAUUGCAGAAUUCAGUGAAUCAUCGAAUCUUUGAACGCACAUUGCGCCCGCCAGUAUUCUGGCGGGCAUGCCUGUUCGAGCGUCAUUUCAACCAUCAAGCCCCCGGCUUGUGUUGGGGACCUGCGGCUGCCGCAGGCCCUGAAAAGCAGUGGCGGGCUCGCUGUCACACCGAGCGUAGUAGCAUACAUCUCGCUCUGGGCGUGCUGCGGGUUCCGGCCGUUAAACCACCUUCAUAACCCAAGGUUGACCUCGGAUCAGGUAGGAAGACCCGCUGAACUUAAGCAUAUCAAUAAGCGGAAGA